UACAUAGGGUGCAAGCGUUGUCCGGAUUUAUUGGGCGUAAAGAGCUCGUAGUUGGCACAGUUAGUCAGAAGUUAAAACGCAGGGCUCAACUCUGCGUCGCUUUUGAUACUGCUGAGCUUGAGUAUGGCAGGGGAGAACGGAAUUCCACGUGUAGCGGUGAAAUGCGCAGAUAUGUGGAGGAACACCAAUGGCGAAGGCAGUUCUCUGGGCCAUUACUGACACUGAGGAGCGAAAGCGUGGGGAGCGAACAGG
rnacentral:rRNA from 1 species